UACGUAGGGUGCAAGCGUUGUCCGGAAUUAUUGGGCGUAAAGAGCUCGUAGGCGGUCUGUCGCGUCGGCUGUGAAAUCCCGAGGCUCAACCUCGGGUCUGCAGUCGAUACGGGCAAACUGGAGUGUUGCAGGGGAGACUGGAAUUCCUGGUGUAGCGGUGAAAUGCGCAGAUAUCAGGAGGAACACCGGUGGCGAAGGCGGGUCUCUGGGCAGUAACUGACGCUGAGAAGCGAAAGCGUGGGGAGCGAACAGG
rnacentral:rRNA from 1 species